rnacentral:rRNA from 1 species
GGGCUACACACGUGCUACAAUGGCAUCUACAGUGGGUUAAUCCCCAAAAGAUGUCUCAGUUCGGAUUGUUCUCUGCAACUCGAGAGCAUGAAGUCGGAAUCGCUAGUAAUCGCGUAUCAGCAAUGACGCGGUGAAUACGUUCCCGGACCUUGUACACACCGCCCGUCAAGCCAUGGGAGUUGGGUAUACCUGAAGAUGGUUGCCGUGAGGCGCUGUUUAGGG